rnacentral:lncRNA from 1 species
UUUAGUUUCCUGUGGAACCUGGAAGGAUCAGGAUUCCUGAAAAUUUAAACCAGAACUCAGAUAUUCCAGUAAUUGCUCAUCAAGUGCCCACUAGUAGCUAAGCAUCUGCUACACAACAGCAUACAAAGUCUGGAAGGUAAUGAAAAUAGUGCAAAUGGGUUCCCCAUUUCUUUUCCAAGAAAAACCUCCUAAUGGGUUGCUGAUGAGCUAAUCAGGUCAAGUGUUCUCUGAGUUGCCCUCUUUCUACAGUCAGCAAGCAUAACAUUUUGUUAACCUAUUGACACAGAGGAAAUUUGUUUUCCAUCUGACCUUUUACAGUAACUACUCAAAAUGUCCAAAUUGGAUGUUUACUUGCAGUGAAUAUGUUUUUAAUGGUUUGUUAUAUUCAGAGGAUCAUAACUUCAAAGAUGGUCAUCAAUUAAUUCACAAAGGU